GUGAGGAAUAUUGCGCAAUGGAGGCAACUCUGACGCAGCCAUGCCGCGUGCAGGAAGAAGGCGCUACGCGUUGUAAACUGCUUUUAACCGGGAAGAAACCCCAGGACGUGUCCUGGGUUGACGGUACCGGAGGAAUAAGCACCGGCUAACUUCGUGCCAGCAGCCGCGGUAAUACGAAGGGUGCAAGCGUUAUCCGGAUUCAUUGGGUUUAAAGGGUGCGUAGGCGGAGCGUUAAGUCAGUGGUGAAAUCCUGCAGCUUAACUGUAGACUUGCCAUUGAUACUGGCGCUCUUGAGUGCGCUUGAAGUGGGCGGAAUGUGCCGUGUAGCGGUGAAAUGCUUAGAUAUGGCACAGAACACCAAUUGCGAAGGCAGCUCACUAGGGCGAUACUGACGCUGAGGCACGAAAGCGUGGGGAUCGAACAGGAUUAGAAACCCCAGUAGUCC
rnacentral:rRNA from 1 species